rnacentral:rRNA from 1 species
UGGGGAUCUGCCCGAUGGAGGGGGAUAACUACUGGAAACGGUGGCUAAUACCGCAUAACGUCUACGGACCAAAGAAGGGGAUCUUCGGGCCUUGCGCUAUCGGAUGAACCCAUAUGGGAUUAGCUAGUAGGUGGGGUAAAGGCUCACCUAGGCGACGAUCCCUAGCUGGUCUGAAAGGAUGAUCAGCCUCACUGGAACUGAGACACGGCCCAGACUCCUACUGGAGGCAGCAGUGGGGAAUAUUGCACAAUGGGCGCGAGCCUGAUGCAGCCAUGCCGCGUGUAUGAAAAAGGCCUUAGGGUUGUAAAGUACUUUCACCGGGGAGGAAGGGGAUAAAGUUAAUACCCUUAAGGGUUGACCUUACCCGGAGAAUAACCACCGGGUCACUCCUUGCCAGCUGCCACGGUAAUACGGAAGGUGCAAGCGGUAAUCGUAAUUACUGGGCGUAAAGCGCACACAGGCCGUUUGUUUACUCCCAUGUGAAAUCCCG